GCUUAGCUAGCUGUGUUAUCAACAACAAUGAAUGCUAGACAUCAUAUCAGUAAUAUGCAAUAGUAUUUAAAAAGGUGAAUGUCUUCCAGCUAAAUCCACAAGUGAAAUUACGGGCUAGAGUUGUUUGGGUGCUCACGCUAGCAUGUAGCAUAUACGCUAACAUUUAGAGAACUUUAUUUCUUUCGAAAAAUCAGGAAACGAAUGAUUGGACAUGAUCAGGUUUUUUACAUUUAUUUUUUAUUAUGAACACCACAAAUACAGAAAUGUAUAAACAAGAGUACAUAAACCUUACAGACAGGUGUAUUACAUAUCAAGAUUAAUUUUAAAUGUGUUAAAUACUUUUUAUGGUGCGUAUUGCUUUUUUUGUUUUUACAGAUAACAUUUCAGAUCUAUCUUAAAUAAUGUGAAAGGGGGUUUGUUCUCUGCCCACUUAAUUUUAUGGAUAAAGAAUCUACCGUGAAAGAUAAACAAAUUAACAAUGGAAGUUAAAUCAGGGUCCAUAUCAUUUGGAUCAAAAUAAAACAUAAUAUCAGAGUCUUUCAAAUUAACAAUAAUAGUCGUUUCUUUUCAAAUAGAAUCUAACUCACUCCAAAAUCUUCUGACAUAAGAACAGUCCCAAAAUAAAUGGUCAAGAGUUUCUGGGUCACAACCACAAAAUACACAUUUGUUAACAAUAGCUAUUUUAAAUCUGUGUAUAAUAAAGGUCUUUACAGGGUAGAUUCUAUGAAUGAGUUUAUGAUACUUAUUUCACCUUAUUAGAUAUACAAUAUUUACCAGACAACGAAACUUUGUUCCAGUUCACUUGUCCUAGGGCUGCAUUCCAGUACAUUUUAGCAGAGGGAAUAGUUACACAUUGACAUAGUUUCCUUAUAUACAUGUUAUUACAUUUAUAGUUUAAAAUGUCAAUUCCUUCUAAUUGUAUUGAGGCUACAGAAUCCUCAACAGUUGCACUUGGAGUAUUGUUAUAUUCUCCUAAAAGAAGAAUAGCACCUUUAGGGACAGCUCUAACAACAAUUUGAUUCUCAGGAGUGAAUGUAACAUUGUGUGUUCUCAUAAAUUCUGGAUAAUCAUAUAGUUGUCCAUCAUUAUUCAAUAAUUGUUUAACCCAAAUAAUGUUGUCAAACCAGUUCUGGAAAAUUAAAGACUUGUUUUUGUAUUUUUGGACAUCAGCAGGUGUUCUUGAAACAACAUGAUGGAGUCGUCCACUAAAUGUAAUGCUGCUUGGGCGAGGAUGGUAAAUGACCAUUGCUAGCUAGCCAACUACUGUAACUUCCUAAUCCAUGUCACCCAUCUGUAAACUUAACUGUACGUUAAUCGGUACGCAUUCACCUCAGUACUGACCCAAAACACAGGACUGGUGUCAUGAAGUUGUGUGUGAGAGUGUAGCAUUGAUGUAGAGAUGUACUCACGGCCCUGGUGAUGUUUCAGGAAAAGCCAAGCGAAGGCACCUGAGCUUAGAUGAGUUUUGUGAAAUUAGUAGGAGGCCAGAGGGCAGCCAACACCUCACACUGCCCCACUCUGUCACUCGCAGGCACAGCUACUCAGACCCCAACCCGGGGGUUGUACCCCAGAACACCCACAAAGAGAAAGAGAUCUCAGAUGCGAGUGAUGACCAGCAGCAGGGGAUCACUCAGUUUUCCCCUGUGAUCGGUGUGGUCAGGGUGUUCAGACCUCAGAAAGCAGCCCUGUCCCAGGGCUCAGGUUCCAUAACACCGAGGGACUCAAUGGAGAGCUCCUCCCCUAAAUGGGGACUGAGGAGGCACUAGCCACCUCUAUGAAGGAGGAACCUGAGGAUGAGAAGGUGGACUAUCUGGAGGGGCUGACAACAGACAUGUUUGGGGACGACAAGGAGUUUGAGCGUUGUUUGUCAGAUCCAGACCCAGCCUUUAUGAAUCACCAUGAGGAGGCGGAGGCCCUGCCUGACGCCCUUUCCUGCCUCUUGGGGAGCAGCAGAGGCCUGUCCCAUCCCCAGGUUUUCGUGGACGUCCUCCCAGAGGAGGUGCUGAUGCUGGUUUUGAGCCUCCUGCCUGCUGAGGACUUCUACUGUAAUGUCAGCCUGGUCUGCCAACGCUGGAGGAACAUUGUCACCCAGUCACUGGUGAGAGCCUGGGACAGGUGGAGGACGUUAGGGUUAAAGUUAUGAAGAUAAGCUAGUGUAAACAUUUGAAUAGAUGUGCUGUAUACAUUAUUUUGGGUUCGGUUGUGUCUUUGGGCCCUGGAAGAAGCUGUAUUACCGCUACACGAAGAAGGAGAUUGACGCCGUGAAGAAUAUCAACGCCAUCCUGGAAAACCAUAGAAUCAGGAGAGGAGAGCAUCCAGGACGACCAGGAGAGCAUCCUCCAUAUGGUCGAGUUCAUGGCCCAGUAUAAGCCCAGUCAGAGGGUGAACCCUAGGGCAGUGUUACAGAGUGUGAGGACACAUUGUCUGUUCCCUCAGGCUGAGGCCUGCAUUACACAGACUCCCAAAAAAUGGAGGGUAUCGAGGGGGUAUGUAGCCCCACACAUACUCUGUGAUGGCGCUCCCUUCAGCCAUCACAGAGUACCUCAGCGCCAUGGCAACCAUGCUGCUCGCCGUGAGGAGGAAUGACAUCAACAUCAGCAACAGGUUGCACUACAUCUUCUACGUUCUUCACCUGAUGGAGAACGCCCUGCCCACAGCAAUAACCAAUCAGAGUGGGAGAGUCCAGGUUCAGGUGACCCACAAACAGCAGAUCCUCAACCACGACAUCCAUAGAGACCACGUACCGCCAGACCGCUACUACCAACAUCAUGCCACAGCUGUGUUUUUACAGAAAACAAGUUAGAUAUAGGUUACCAGGAGUUGAAGACGUUGUCUAGUAACAUGAAGGCCUUCUCUGUGGCCUGAGUGCUGCCUAAGGGCAGCGGGGGCUUCGUCAACGUCAAGGUAGUCACCCUGACCCUCAAUGCCUACAUGGCCUCGGCCGACACACACAUCACCCCCAACCACGUCCCAAACACACAUGGCACAGUGACCGUGCCCAACCGCAAUGCAAAAAGGAUGUUUGCGAGGGAUGCCCAGAAGAUCUGGGACAAAAUGGUUGCCUUAGAAGAGACCAGGGAGUAUGCAUACCACAUGAACUAUGAUGGUAAGCUUUUUUUCACUCCAUAACAUGUUUUGAAUAUGUCAGUGUCUUCCAGGGUAUCUGAAGCAGUGGCAGCUGCGGAGGUCGACUCUGGACAAGUAUGAUGUCCUCUUUAUAGACGAGGCACAGGACUGCACUCCAGGUACACCACUGUACCACACCUGGACCAAACCUGGGUCUACAUUACACCAGAACAGCCUGAAUUCUUCAGGGAAUUUAAACAUUGCGCACUUGGUAUCAAGGGACCUAACGUGUGCAAGGAAAACAUUACCCACACCAUUAUACCACCGCCACCAACCGGUACUGUUGAUACCAGGCACUAUGGGGCCAUGGACACAUGCUGCUUAUGCCAAAUCCUGACUCAGCCAUCAGCAUGACACAACAGGAACCUGGAUUCGUCAGACCAGGUGAUGUUUUUCCACUCCUCAAUUGUCCACUGUUGGUGAUUGUGUGCCCACAAAAGCCAUUUCUUGUUUCUGAGAUACUGGAACCGGCACGCCUGGCACUAACGAUCAUACCACGCUCAGUCUCUUAAGUCACUCGCUUUGCACAUUCUAACAUUCAAUCGAACAGUAGUAACUGAAUGCCGCAAUGACUGUCUGCCUAUUUUGUGUCGCAAACCAAGGCCACUCAUCUCACUGUCUGUAGGAGCAAACCAUUUUCAUGAACGGCGUUAAUCAUAAACUGAUUAACAACGUUUGGACAGGAGCUAUAAUCCAAAUUUAAACGUUGUGUCCUUAUUGCUUGAAUUCAGGUUUGGCUGCACUGCUUUUAAUGGGGAAUGAUUGCUUCUGUGAUUUUUGUUGAUAACGUCACUUUCCCGGGUGGAGUUUUGGCUUGCCUGGUAACAUCACCAGGGGGUAUACAUUAAUAUAAUAACAAAUAGAGUUCCAAACCUCUCGGCUAAUAACAGCUAGUUUUCAGAUGACAUAUCCCUUCCAUUAGACCCCUCUGCUCGGGGAUUGAUCCACACUGGUUAAUUAAUGCACCGCUUUGGUGCCCUUCCCUCCCAACUAGGACAGCAACAUUCUUGCUUGAAAAAUAUGUAUUUGCUAAAAAGGUCUUUGUUUCUUCGUGACCAUUUUUAUGUAAACCUAUUAUAGUAAGGACUUAAUUGUUACCCAGAAAUGAAUUGAAAUAAGAAUGGCUACAUUGGAUCUUUUUAAAGGAAAUUACGAUGCGUUAAGUAGGAUGCAAGACUUUGCGCCCACACCUUCACACACAGCAUCUUCGCUUGGGUUCCAUUUUUGUUCUUAGAGCGUUGUAGGUAUGGGACCAAAAAAAAGGAGUUUAGCUUCGCUCUCUAUCGCUCUAAGUUGUCUCUGAAAGUGACCCACAAUGUUGACUUCGUGCACGUACUUCAUAUUGCUAGGUAUAAAGUUGAUUUUCUGAAUGACGUAAACAUGUCCGUAAAAUAUCCAUGGUGUUCCAUGACUACUGUGUUCUUAUUUUGUUAAUUUCGUUCUGUUUAGAUCAGUUUGUUUUAAAGGGAAGAUUGCAGAAUUAAGAUGCUAUUAAACGUUCUGAUUUGUUUCAUCCUUCAAACAAAGUUACAAUAAAACAUCACGUUACAUUUGUAUUUUUUUAUAUUUUUAUAUUAUACUUGAACGAAGAUAUGUCGGAAAAGUGACCUAAAGGGGAGCACUACACGAGUAGGUGUGAAGCCACUGUUUGCAUAAGACGGUGAAGACCGACAUCAUACGGAUGCUCUGUGCAGGGUAAGGCUGUGGACUUGCUGUGUCCCCUGGGGUUGAGUCCUAGCCGGGGCAAGUUAGCAGUACUGUCUUGCUCGAACAUCUCCGUGUUCGACCAAGCUGUCAGACUCACCAACACCAACCCCCGCUGUAGGCUGCACAUCGUAGGGGUGAGUGUCCACACACACACACAAUGUGUUUGGGUCUUGUGUAAGACAUGUAUUUUCCACUCCAGGGGGUGAAGAAUUUUGGGCUGAACAGAAUCAUGGGCACUUGGGUUCUGAUGCAGCCAGAAAACAACCGCUCCUGAGUCAUCAAGGACAGAUUCAUCCGUAGGUUCACCCAGCAGAGUCUGAAGAGUUAUGCUAAAAAAACAGAGGACCGUGAGUUGGAGGGCAAACUCUCCAUGGUUGAAAAAUAUAAUAGCCACAUCCCUGAGCUGGUGGAACGCCUUUACGGCUGCACAGAGAGAGAGGUGCAACACGCAGAUUUUAUCCUGGGGACAGUCCAUAAGUCAAAGGGUCUGGAUUUUGACAUGGUGGUGAUCACUGAUGAUUUUGCUAAGGUCCCCUGUGCCGCCCACAAUUUACCCAGACUUUCCAGCUGCUCAGGAGACGAUGAGUGAAACCUGCUGUAUGUAGCGGUUACACGGACCAAGAGCUCUCUGGUCAUCACCAAGAACAUCACCAACAUCCUCACACUGGCUGGGGAGUACCUCCUGAGGACAGAGUUAACCAGCGCCCUGCUGACCGAGGGCGAUUUCCCCCACCCCCCUCCCCUGCUGCUCCAUGCGGAAGUAUCAUAACUACAUCAUGCCCGACUGGCCCCUCGCCAUGUGCAAGCUGCCACUCAAAUACAUCAGGCCCCGCUUCCUCCUCUCCGCCACAAUACCACAUUCUGAUUUGCAAUGUCUCUCAACCAGACCUGCUCAUUUCCGAUAGGUGUGUGUGCAGGAGUUCUAGAAAAAUUGCCCACAUUCUGCGAACAGCUAACUAGUCAGGCCUGUUAGCCAACUGUAAUACCUAGUCAGUCAGUCAGAGGGCACUUACGGGGAAAUCGUGUUAUCCCUGUUACAUUUAGUGUGCCUGAGCCGUGCUGAGGCGGUAAAUGUUAAGUCAUGAAAGGGAUUCAGUACAUACAGCUGAUUGUAGUUGAGAUGGUUAACUUUUCAUUCAUUUUUCAUUCACAAAGCGGCAGCCUAGUGGUUAGAGCGGUGGACUUAUAACCGGAAGGUUGCAAGUACAAAUCCCCGAGCUGACAAGGUACAAAUCUGUCGUUCUGCCCCUGAACAGGCAGUUAACCCACUGUUCCUAGUCUCUAAAAGCCUUGAUGUUCUUCAGUCCAAGGUAAGACAAAUUGUCUAUAAAUCGAGGAGGCUCAGCAUGUUGCUACUCUCCCUAGAAGUGGCCGCUCUGCAAAGAUGACUUGCAAGAGCACAGCACAGAAUGCUCAAUGAGGUUAAGAAGAAUCCUUGUGUCAACUAAAGACUUACAGAAAUCUCUGGAACAUGCUAACAUCUCUGUUGACGAGUCUACGAUACGUAAAACACUAAACAAGAAUGGUGUUCAUGGGAGGACACCACGGAAGAAGCCUCUGCUGUCGAAAAAAACAUUGCUGCACGUCUAAAGUUUGCAAAAGUGCACCCGGAUGCUCCACAGCGCUACUGUGGAACUGUUACUGUGGAACCUUCUGACAGUUGUGCAGGUCUGAUCCGCAACUACAGAAAAUGCUUGGUUGAGGUUAUUGUUGCCAAAGGAGGGGCAACCAGUUAUUAAAUCCAAGGGUUCACAUACUUUUCCCACCCUGCACUGUGAACGUUUACAACGUGUGUUCAAUAAAGACAU